GUUGUUGCGGUUAAAAGCUCGUAGUUGGAUUUCUGUCGGUGAGGUUCGGUCCGCCCAAGUGGUUGGUACGUGAUCCGCCACCGGCAUCUUCCUGGGGAAUGUGUCUGCCCUUAAUUGGGUGGUACAUAAGCCAGGACUUUUACUUUGAAGAAAUGAGAGUGUUUCAAGCAGGCAUGCGCCGUGAAUACGUUAGCAUGGGAUAAUAGCAUCGGACCUCGUUCCAAAGCUGUUGGUUUCUUGGACCGAGGUAAAGGUGAAUAGGGAUUGUUGGGGGCAUUCGUAUUUGACUGUCAGAGGUGAAAUUCUUGGAUCUGUUGAAGACGGACUACUGCGAAAGCAUCUGCCAAAGAUGUUCUCAUUGAUCAAGAACGAAAGUUAGGUGAUCGAAGACGAUCAGAUACCGUCCUAGUCUUAACCAUAAACUAUGCCGACUGGAGAUCGGGGGUCGUUAAUUAUGUGACGCCCUCUGCAUCUUGAGAGAAAUCAAAGUCUUUGGGUUCCGGGGGGAGUAUGGUCGCAAGGCUGAAACUUAAAGGAAUUGACGGAAGGGCACCACCAGGAGUGGAGCCUGCGGCUUAAUUUGACUCAACAC
rnacentral:rRNA from 1 species